ensembl:lncRNA
GACAGCAUGUACCUGGUAAUCUUCCUUUCUGGCUUCUCUGCUACAGCCUUGUAAUCUCAUUAUCGAUGCAUGUCUCAUUCAUUUCCAUCAUUGCCGAAUGGCCCACCACUCCUGCUGUCACUGCCUGAGACCAGUCUCCUGCCGAUGCUAGGAAUUCAAGCACCAGCAACCAAAACAGAUGAAGGGGGAAAUGAUAGCCUGUUUAAAGGGUCCUCUAUGCUGAAUUAUCAAUGAGCAUCUGUCCAAGUGGAAUUUUAAAGUUAUUUUCUUGCAUGGAAUGAUGACCAAAUCCACUUUAAGUGGACCUAUUUGUUCCACUGUGUUGGACAUAGAAGUCAAUUAUGGAACUGUGUUUGUGAGGGCCGACGCUGGAGACGAGAAGCAAGGGAGUGAACAUUUAAUGUAAAACAGACAUCAAACAAAACAAGAACAGUGUCUGGAUGGGGGGAACAAAACGACAUGACGACAAUAAUGCUGACAC